GGCCCUGUAGUUGAAUCCUACAACAGUAAAUUGCAAAUUUAAAAGUGUAUACAUACCAGGUCCU
rnacentral:tRNA from 1 species